UGACAGGGUUCACCACCAUCUUAGGAAUAUCAUGAAUAAAGCGUUAGAUUGGGUGUGCCCUAACUGAUGGUCACAAGCAUGAUACUAAUUAUCAGGGUGAACAAAGCAGGGGAGUAAGAGCAUCAGUAACUGUGAAACUCCAGGAGUUUGUCUUCAUUGUUUCAGUGAUAGAAUAUCUAGCAUUUGUAUUUCGUUCAUCAUACACUUGAGUUAAUAUCUGUGGAAAGGAUAAAUACAUAAGGAAAAGAGAUGCAGGAAACUGCAGAGAUACUGGCCGUUUAUCUGAGAAGUGCCCAAUGAGGCAUCACCGGAUAAGCACACGUCGGGUCAUUCUCCUGCUUCAGGGAGGUCUGUGGCGCUGACAUUAUCAAUGCUAUGGAUGCCUCAAGGCUCUGAUAAAAAUACCUGGCUUCAGCAAUAAGCAUGCAGUUAUCUCAGUUUAAAGGAAACGUGUUCUGCUCCCUGCUUAGUAAGAAAUGCUGCUUACUUCUCCAGCUUUUGAAGCACAGGUUUUAUGUUUGUUUGUUUGGGAUAGAAUCUCACUCUGUCACCCAGGCCAGAGAGCACUGACAUUGUCAUGGCUCCCUGCACUCUCAAACUCCCAAGCUCAAGCAAUCCUCCCACCUCAGCCUCCCAAGUAGCUGGGACUACAG
rnacentral:antisense_RNA from 1 species